rnacentral:rRNA from 1 species
CAUAAUCAUUAGUCUUUUAAUUGAAGGCUGGUAUGAAUGGUUGGAUGAAAUAUUAACUGUUUCAUUUAAAUUUUUUAUAGAAUUUUAUUUUUUAGUUAAAAAGCUAAAAUAUUAUUAAAAGACGAGAAGACCCUAUAAAUCUUUAUAUUUUAUUUUUAUUAGUUAUUUAGAUAUUUUUAAUUAUUAAAAAUUAAAAUAUUUUAUUGGGGUGAUAUUAAAAUUUAAUAAACUUUUAAUUUAUAUUAACAUAAAUUUUUGAUUUUUUGAUCCAUUAUUAAUGAUUAAAAAUUUAAGUUACUUUAGGGAUAACAGCGUAAUUUUUUUGGAGAGUUCAUAUCGAUAAAAAAGAUU